AAGAAAGUAAGUGCCGCCCCGCACAGGGGCGAAGCUAAUAGACCAAAGCCAAUACAAGUUCCAUAGAAGCACAAGCGCAUCAAACGGUGCAAACAACAAACCCGAACCCCAAGCGCCAGCGACAA
rnacentral:sRNA from 1 species